GCAACAGUGAGAGCAGAGGGCUGAACAUCUCCACUUGCUUCCAACAGAUUGCUUUGAUUGAGUUCACCUUUUCACCUGCUCAGAGCUCAUGCUCACCAUGUUUGAGCUUCACUCAGUCAGUCACCUUGUUGACAUGCUGCUAAGAGGAAGUAAGACAACUUCUGUGUGGACUCAGAAGACACAACUGGUGUCAUCAGCAGGCGCUGCUGUUUAUAUUGCACGUCUGCUUGGAAGACGGCCAGCGGGGCGGGACUCAGGAUUACGUCAGACCAGUCCGGGGCCUGGAUUCUGUUUAUGAUGGGAGCCCCCCCCCCCCCUCCCCCCCCCCACACACACUUAAUUUAUGGCGUGCGAGGCGAGGAGUGAGAAGUGAGAAGUAAGCGGUGCUGGCAUGAAAAUCCUGCAUGGAGCGGCGCCAACAGACCCUCUAAAGCACACAAAAGACGCGGCACAGUUGUUUGUCACGUCUUCUGCACCUCACCAGGAGUCCUACAGGACUUCAGCGCCGGGCGACUCGGAGUGAGACCCAAGCGAGGCCAGGACAGACUUUUAGGACCACUAUCUCACCUCCACAGUCCACCUCAACACAGGAGAUCAUUUGACAGUACAAACACAAAAAUAUCACUCACUCGGCAUAACUUUACCGUAAAAACAAAAAAAUGUACAAUAAUGCUUUGUAAAAAUGACCCGAGAUUUUACAUAAAAAACUAACAACUCAGUCGCCAUCAGUUUAUCAUAACAAUAACAAUGUUGCUGUUCUUCAAUGCAUAAUAAAACACAAGUUGUAGAUUUUUAAGGGAGAACAAAUCCCUGAGAGGUCAGACAGCAACAUUUUUAAAGUGGAAAUAAUAUUUUAACGUUU